GAUCGGAAGGUCAGAGGGGAGACUCGGGAGGUUAGAGGGGAGGGAUCGGAAGGUCAGAGGGGAGGGAUCGGAAGGUUAGAGGGGAGGGAUCGGAAGGUCAGAGGGGAGGGAUCGGAAGGUUAGAGAUGACAGAUUGGAGAUUGGAGAAAGGGAAGGGAAGGGAUUAAAAGGUUAGAGGGGACGGAUUGUGGGAUCGGAAGGUUAGGAGGGAGAGAUUGGAAGGUUAGAGGUAAGAGAUCAGAAGGUUAGAGGGGAGGGAUCGGAAGAUUAGAGGUGAGGGAUCGGAAGGUUAGAGGUAAGAGUUUGGAAGGUUGGAGGGGAGAGAUCGGAAGGUUAGAGGUGAGGGAUCGGAAGGUUAGAGGUGAGGGAUCGGAAGGUUAGAGGUGAGGGAUCAGAAGGUUAGAGAGGGAGGGAUCUGAAGAUUAGAGGUGAGGGAUCAGAAGGUUAGAGAGGGAGGGAUCGGAAGGUCAGAGGGGAGGGAUCGGAAGGUUAGAGAGGGAGGGAUCGGAAGGUUAGAGAGGGAGGGAUCGGAAGGUUAGAGGGGAGGGAUCGGAAGGUUAGAGGGGA